GGAACAUCCGGGUAAUUUGGUCAGCUGACCAAAACACGGAAGCCGCGCAGGGGGAAGAUCAGGAGAGUCAAAAAGAGACUCAUUUUCAGAGAAAUGCGUCCAUUAUUGAGGUUUUAUCAACUUUACAGGAUUUUGGAGGGGUUUCUGCUCUCUGAUUCCUUCAUGCAUCUGCAGGGCGAGCUGCGCUGCACGCCAUGAUCCAGGUGUUUCGCAGCCCGGGCCGCCAUGGCUACGCCGUGGAGGUGUCCCCGUUCAUCCCCAACAGGGUGGCGUGUGCAGCGUCCCAGUACUACGGGAUAGCAGGUUGUGGGACGCUGCUCAUCCUCGAUGAGACCCCCCCCACUUUUUAACUCUGCUCUUAAGUUGAGUUGAUCUAUUUAAUUGAGUUGCUUUUAUUGUGUUAAUAGUCUUAAGUCUUAUCUUUAUUGUGUUUUUACUAAUAUUAUGCUUUGUUCAGCACUUUGGUGAACCUUGUUUGGUGUAAAGUGCUUUAUAAAUAAAGUUGAGUUGAAGCAGCGA